UACGAAAGGGGGCUAGCGUUGCUCGGAAUCACUGGGCGUAAAGGGUGCGUAGGCGGGUCUUUAAGUCAGGGGUGAAAUCCUGGAGCUCAACUCCAGAACUGCCUUUGAUACUGAAGAUCUUGAGUUCGGGAGAGGUGAGUGGAACUGCGAGUGUAGAGGUGAAAUUCGUAGAUAUUCGCAAGAACACCAGUGGCGAAGGCGGCUCACUGGCCCGAUACUGACGCUGAGGCACGAAA
rnacentral:rRNA from 1 species